CAGUGAUGUUAAGCAAAACCCAAAAAGACAGUCACAGUUCGGAUUGAAGGCUGAAAUUCGCCUUCAUGAAGCCGGAAUUGCUAGUAAUGGCAGGUCAGCAUACUGCCGUGAAUACGUUCCCGGGCCUUGUACACACCGCCCGUCACACCAUGAGAGUUGGGAAUACCCGAAGCCUGUGAGCUGACGAAAGAGGCAGCAGUCGAAGGUAGAAUCAAUGAUUGGGGUGAAGUCGUAACAAGGUAUC
rnacentral:rRNA from 1 species